UUCCAAAGUGUUGAGUUCAGUCCAGGGCAGCUUUCCCUGUUCUGUUAAUUAAACUUUGGGACAUUGAAAUGGGCUAGGAGACAUGAGUGGAUAGAAAAUAAUAUUCUAUUCAUUUGCCUCCCAGCCUACAAAA
rnacentral:snoRNA from 1 species